CGGGGACAAAGUGACAGGUGGUGCAUGGUUGUCGUCAGCUCGUGUCGUGAGAUGUUGGGUUAAGUCCCGCAACGAGCGCAACCCUUGAUUUUAGUUGCCAGCAUUUAGUUGGGCACUCUAAAGUGACUGCCGGUGCAAGCCGGAGGAAGGUGGGGAUGACGUCAAAUCAUCAUGCCCCUUAUGACCUGGGCUACACACGUGCUACAAUGGAUAGUACAAAGGGUCGCGAAGCCGCGAGGUGGAGCUAAUCCCAUAAAACUAUUCUCAGUUCGGAUUGUAGGCUGCAACUCGCCUACAUGAAGCCGGAAUCGCUAGUAAUCGUGGAUCAGCAUGCCACGGUGAAUACGUUCCCGGGCCUUGUACACACCGCCCGUCACACCACGAGAGUUUGUAACACCCGAAGUCGGUAGGGUAACCUUUAUGGAGCCAGCCGCCGAAGGUGGGACAGAUAAUUGGGGUGAAGUCGUAACAAGGUAGCCGUAUCGGAAGGUGCGGCUGGAUCACCUCCUUUCUAAGGAA
rnacentral:rRNA from 1 species